GACCCAGUGGCGAAGUGGUAUCGCACCCGCUUACUGUAGGUAAGCUAGUAGGAAAUCUUCCGCGGAAGGUGCCCGUUCGAUUCGGGUCGGGGUCG